rnacentral:rRNA from 1 species
AACCUGGUUGAUCCUGCCAGUAGUCAUAUGCUUGUCUCAAAGACUAAGCCAUGCAUGUCUAAGUAUAAAUGGUAUACAGUAAAACUGCGAAUGGCUCAUUAAAACAGUUAUAGUUUAUUUGGUAAUCGAAUUUACAUGGAUAACCGUGGUAAUUCUAGAGCUAAUACAUGCUGUAAAGCCCGACUUCUCGGAAGGGCCGUGUUUAUUAGAUAACAGACCAACAGCUUCGGCUAUUGUGGUGAAUCAUAGUAACUAAUCGGAUCGCAUGGGCUAGUCCCGCGACAAACCAUUCAAGUUUCUGCCCCAUCAGCUUUCGACGGUAGUGUAUUGGACUACCGUGGCUUUUACGGGUAACGGAGGAUUAGGGUUCGAUUCCGGAGAGGGAGCCUGAGAAACGGCUACCACAUCUAAGGAAGGCAGCAGGCGCGUAAAUUACCCAAUUCUGAUUCAGAGAGGUAGUGACAAGAAAUAACGGGUCGGGACUUUGUCCCGGGACUGCAAUGAGAUGAACUUAUACCCCUUUUCGAGUAACAAUUGGAGGGCAAGUCUGGUGCCAGCAGCCGCGGUAAUUCCAGCUCCAAUAGCGUAUAUUAAAGUUGUUGCAGUUAAAAAGCUCGUAG